AUGAUAAUUAAAUAGCCGCAAUUCGUGCUAAGGUAGCAUAAUAAUUUGUCAAAAAAAUGAAGACUAGAACAAAAGAUUUAACAUUUAAAAUUAUUUAUUCAAUUAAAAUUUUCAAAUUUUCUUAAAUGUAAAAAGACAUUUUUAAAAAAAAAAGACGACAAGACCCUUUUAAACUUAACUUUAGUUUUACUGGGGCAGUAUAUUAAUUAUUAUUUUAAUAAUAAUAACUAUCAAACAAUCCAAUAUUAUUUGAAUAAUUCAGUUACUAUAGGGAUAACAGCGCAAUUUUUAUUUAAAGCUCUUAUAUAAAUAUAAGAUUACGACCUCGAUGUUGAAUUAAUUACCUAAUUAAAGCAAAUUUUAAAAAAGGAAGUCUGUUCGACUUUUUAACAAUUACAUGAUUUGAGUUCARACCGGKGUAAGCCAGGUCGGUUUCUAUCUUUUAAAAAAAUUUUUUACAGUACGAAAGGACCUAAAAAUAUUUUAUAAUAAAUUGGCAGAGAAAUGCAUUAGAAUUAGAAUCUAAUUAAUCUUAUA
rnacentral:rRNA from 1 species